UCGAGCGAGAACCGGUCCUUCGGGACCGGGGACAGCGGCGAACGGGUGAGUAACACGUGGGUAAUCUGCCCUCGGCAUCGGGAUAGCCCGGGGAAACCCGGAUUAAUACCGGAUAGCCUCUCCGGCCUUCGGGCUGGAAAGAAAAGGUAGCUUCGGCCUCCGGCCGAGGAGGAGCCCGCGGCGGAUUAGCUUGUUGGUGGGGUAAUGGCCCACCAAGGCGACGAUCCGUAGCUGGUCUGAGAGGACGAUCAGCCACACUGGGACUGAGACACGGCCCAGACUCCUACGGGAGGCAGCAGUGGGGAAUCUUGCGCAAUGGGCGAAAGCCUGACGCAGCGACGCCGCGUGUGGGAAGAAGGCCUUCGGGUUGUAAACCACUUUCAGGAGGGACGAAGCCACUCGGGUUAAUAGCCCAGAGGGUGACGGUACUUCCAGAAGAAGCCCCGGCUAACUACGUGCCAGCAGCCGCGGUAAUACGUAGGGGGCAAGCGUUGUCCGGAUUUAUUGGGCGUAAAGCGCGUGUAGGCGGCUGGGUAGGUCCGCUGUGAAAACUCGAGGCUCAACCUCGAGAGGUCGGUGGAAACCAUCCAGCUAGAGUCCGGAAGAGGAGAAUGGAAUUCCUGGUGUAGCGGUGAAAUGCGCAGAUAUCAGGAAGAACACCCGUGGCGAAGGCGGUUCUCUGGGACGGUACUGACGCUGAGACGCGAAAGCGUGGGGAGCGAACAGGAUUAGAUACCCUGGUAGUCCACGCCGUAAACGAUGGGUGCUA
rnacentral:rRNA from 1 species